rnacentral:rRNA from 1 species
UAGAUACCCUGGUAGUCCACGCCGUAAACGAUGUCAACUAGCCGUUGGGAGCCUUGAGCUCUUAGUGGCGCAGCUAACGCAUUAAGUUGACCGCCUGGGGAGUACGGCCGCAAGGUUAAAACUCAAAUGAAUUGACGGGGGCCCGCACAAGCGGUGGAGCAUGUGGUUUAAUUCGAAGCAACGCGAAGAACCUUACCAGGCCUUGACAUCCAAUGAACUUUCUAGAGAUAGAUUGGUGCCUUCGGGAACA